rnacentral:rRNA from 1 species
AUUGAACGCUGGCGGCAGGCCUAACACAUGCAAGUCGAGCGGAUGAAGGGAGCUUGCUCCUGGAUUCAGCGGCGGACGGGUGAGUAAUGCCUAGGAAUCUGCCUGGUAGUGGGGGAUAACGUCCGGAAACGGGCGCUAAUACCGCAUACGUCCUGAGGGAGAAAGUGGGGGAUCUUCGGACCUCACGCUAUCAGAUGAGCCUAGGUCGGAUUAGCUAGUUGGUGGGGUAAAGGCCUACCAAGGCGACGAUCCGUAACUGGUCUGAGAGGAUGAUCAGUCACACUGGAACUGAGACAAGGUCCAGACUCCUACGGAAGGCAGCAGUGGGGAAUAUUGGGCAAUGGGCGAAAGCCUGAUCCAGCAACGCCGCGUGUGUGAAGAAGGUCUUCGGAUUGUAAAGCACUUUAAGUUGGGAGGAAGGGCAGUAAGUUAAUACCUUGCUGUUUUGACGUUACCAACAGAAUAAGCACCGGCUAACUUCGUG